AUUGAACGCUGGCGGCAUGCUUUACACAUGCAAGUCGAACGAGUGGCGGACGGGUGAGUAAUGUAUUGGAAUCUACCGUAUAGUGGGGGAUAACUACUCGAAACAUUGGCUAAUACCGCAUACUAUUCGAUCGGCCCAUAUCGGAUUAGCUAGUUGGGGGGGUAAAGGCUCACCAAGGCGACGAUCUCUAGCUGGUCUGAGAGGAUGAUCAGCCACACUGGGACUGAGACACGGCCCAGACGCCUACGGGAGGCAGCAGUGGGGAAUAUUGGACAAUGGGCGCAAGCCUGAUGCAGCCAUGCCGCGUGGAUGAAGAAGGCCUUAGGGUUGUAAAGGACUUUUGGUAGGGAGGCGGUACCUACAGAAGAAGCACCGGCUAACUACGUGCCAGCAGCCGCGGUAAUAC
rnacentral:rRNA from 1 species